CUAUGAGGUCCCGUAAGGGUCUCAGAAGGACCUGUAGAAGUCAGCAGAGGCCAUAUUAGGACGGUGGACUCGUCUGAAGGGC
rnacentral:ncRNA from 1 species